AAAAUGUCCAUACUAUCAAAACAAUCUAUGGAUUGAACACAAUCAUUCAAAAUUCUGAUGACACUUUUUUCAUUAAAAAAUAAAAACCCUAACUAACCAAUGCAAUAAAGCAGGCGAUCAUACUAUCUGAUUUAAAAAUAUACUAUAGAGCAAUUAAAAAAACAACAUGGUACUGACAUAAAAUAUACCACCCAUCAAAGAGGAAGGAUGGUCUCUUUAAUGACUGGUACUGGGAAAACUGGAUACCUGUGUUACCUUUUGUGUUCUUAUAACAAACACCCAAAUAACCAACUUAUAAAGAGAAAAGUUUUAUCUUGGCUCACAGUUUUUGUAGGCUUCAGUCCAGAUAGACGGGGCUUGUGGCUUUAGGCCUGUGGUGAGGCGCACAUCAUGGCAGAAGCACCUCGCAAGGCAAAAUCAGGUAUCUUGUGGCUGAGAAAAGGAGGAAGAGGAAGGGGCAAGGGUCCCAUUAUCCCUCUUCAAGACACAACCCCCAGUGACCCAAAACCUUCCAUUAGGUCCCACCUCUUAAGUUUCCACCACCUUCCUGGAGCGCCACACUGGGACACACACCUUUUAACACAUGGGACUUUGGCAGCCAUUCCAGAUCUAAACUACAGCAAAGUUACAUGCAAAAGAGUGAAACUGGAC
rnacentral:lncRNA from 1 species